rnacentral:rRNA from 1 species
AGAGUUUGAUCCUGGCUCAGGAUGAACGCUAGCGACAGGCUUAACACAUGCAAGUCGAGGGGCAGCGGGGGCGAAGCUUGCUUCGCCUGCCGGCGACCGGCGCACGGGUGAGUAACACGUAUGCGACCUGCCCCCCGCAGGGGGAUAACCGGGAGAAAUCCCGACUAAUACCGCGUAACGCCGCGGGGCUGCAUGGCCCCGCGGCCAAAGGAAGCGAUUCCGGCGGGGGAUGGGCAUGCGGCGCAUUAGCUAGUCGGCGGGGUAACGGCCCACCGAGGCGACGAUGCGUAGGGGUUCUGAGAGGAAGGUCCCCCACACUGGUACUGAGACACGGACCAGACUCCUACGGGAGGCAGCAGUGAGGAAUAUUGGUCAAUGGGCGGGAGCCUGAACCAGCCAAGUCGCGUGAGGGAAGACGGUCCUACGGAUUGUAAACCUCUUUUGCCGGGGAGCAACGGGGUCCUUGCGAGGGCCCGAUGAGAGUACCCGGAGAAAAAGCAUCGGCUAACUCCGUGCCAGCAGCCGCGGUAAUACGGAGGAUGCGAGCGUUAUCCGGAUUUAUUGGGUUUAAAGGGUGCGUAGGCGGGCUGUUAAGUCAGCGGUCAAAUGUCGGGGCUCAACCCCGGCCUGCCGUUGAAACUGGCGGCCUCGAGUGGGCGAGAAGUAUGCGGAAUGCGUGGUGUAGCGGUGAAAUGCAUAGAUAUCACGCAGAACUCCGAUUGCGAAGGCAGCAUACCGGCGCCCGACUGACGCUGAGGCACGAAAGCGUGGGUAUCGAACAGGAUUAGAUACCCUGGUAGUCCACGCAGUAAACGAUGAAUGCUAGCUGUCCGGUUCUACGGGACUGGGUGGCACAGCGAAAGCGUUAAGCAUUCCACCUGGGGAGUACGCCGGCAACGGUGAAACUCAAAGGAAUUGACGGGGGCCCGCACAAGCGGAGGAACAUGUGGUUUAAUUCGAUGAUACGCGAGGAACCUUACCCGGGCUCAAACGCCAAAGGACAGCCGCUGAAAGGCGGCCUCCCUCCGGGGUCUUUGGCGAGGUGCUGCAUGGUUGUCGUCAGCUCGUGCCGUGAGGUGUCGGCUUAAGUGCCAUAACGAGCGCAACCCCCAUCGACAGUUGCUAACGGGUGGAGCCGAGGACUCUGUCGAGACUGCCGGCGCAAGCUGCGAGGAAGGCGGGGAUGACGUCAAAUCAGCACGGCCCUUACGUCCGGGGCGACACACGUGUUACAAUGGCCGGUACAGCGGGAUGCCAGGGCGCGAGUCCGAGCGGAACCCGAAAACCGGUCUCAGUUCGGAUUGGAGUCUGCAACCCGACUCCAUGAAGCUGGAUUCGCUAGUAAUCGCGCAUCAGCCACGGCGCGGUGAAUACGUUCCCGGGCCUUGUACACACCGCCCGUCAAG